rnacentral:sRNA from 1 species
GUAGGUGACCACGGGUACUCAGAUGAGGUUGGGAGGAGAUCUGAAUUUGAAGUAGCAUUAGGGAAAUGUUCAGUUCUUUACAGACGCAGGUAGUGCUAUGGUAAUGUAACAUAAAGUAGGUGACCACGGGUACUCAGCCUGAGGUUGGGAGAAGAUCUGAAUUUGAAGUAGCAUUAGGGAAAUGUUCAGUUCUUUCAGACGCAGGUUCCCUCACAAAAAAGGCUCUAAAUGAUGG